AGGGAAUCUUCCACAAUGGACGAAAGUCUGAUGGAGCAAUUUCGUGUGAAUGAUGAAGGUCUUUUUGAUUGUAAAAUUCUUUUAUUAGAGAUAAAAAAAUUUAUUGAAAAAUUAAUUUUGAUAGUAUCUAAUGAAUAAGUGACAGCUAACUAUGUGCCAGCAGCUGCGGUAAUACAUAGGUCACAAGCAUUAUUCGGAUUUAUUGGGCGUAAAGCAAGCGCAGGCGGAUGAAUAAGUCUUUUGUUAAAAGCAAUUGCUUAACAAUUGUUUGCAAUAGAUACUGUUUAUCUAGAAUAUAGUAGGAAGUUCUGGAAUUCAAUAUGGAGCGGUGGAAUGUGUAGAUAUAUUGAGGAACACCAGAGGCGAAAGCGAGAACUUAGGCUAUUAUUGACGCUUAGGCUUGAAAGUGUGGGGAGCAAAUGGGAUUAGAUACCCCAGUAGUCCACACCUUAAACGAUGGGUAUUAGAUAUCAGGACUUGGGUCUUGGUAUUGUAGCUUACGUGUUAAAUACCCCGCCUGGGUAGUAUGUAUGC
rnacentral:rRNA from 1 species